rnacentral:rRNA from 1 species
AUUGCACGCUGGCGGCAGGCCUAACACAUGCAAGUCGAACGAGUGGCGGACGGGUGAGUAAUGUCUGGGAAACUGCCUGAUGGAGGGGGAUAACUACUGGAAACGGUAGCUAAUACCGCAUACCAUCGGAUGUGCCCAGAUGGGAUUAGCUAGUUGGUGGGGUAACGGCUCACCAAGGCGACGCUCCCUAGCUGGUCUGAGAGGAUGACCAGCCCCACUGGAACUGAGACAAGGUCCAGACUCCUACGGGAGGCAGCAGUGGGGAAUAUUGCACAAUGGGCGCAAGCCUGAUGCAGCCAUGCCGCGUGUAUGAAGAAGGCCUUCGGGUUGUAAAGUACUUUCAGCGGGGAGGCGUUACCCGCAGAAGAAGCACCGGCUAACUCCGUGCCAGCAGCCGCGGUAAUAC